UACGGAGGAUCCAAGCGUUAUCCGGAAUCAUUGGGUUUAAAGGGUCCGUAGGCGGUUUGGUAAGUCAGUGGUGAAAGCCCUCGCUCAACGGUGGAACGACCAUUGAUACUGCCAGACUUGAAUUAUUAGGAAGUAACUAGAAUAUGUAGUGUAGCGGUGAAAUGCUUAGAGAUUACAUGGAAUACCAAUUGCGAAGGCAGGUUACUACUAAUGGAUUGACGCUGAUGGACGAAAGCGUGGGUAGCGAACAGG
rnacentral:rRNA from 1 species